AUGUUUUGUUUAUCGUUUGAGACUCAUGAACUUGAUGAUUGUAAUGCGAUUUUGACAUGAUUAUGGUUAUUUGAUGUGAUUUACAUAACUUUUCUUUGAUAUUGAUCUUGAUAUUGCAUGUUGGUAUGUUUUGGUUAUUUUAUUAGUCAAUAAAUUCAGCGGUUUAGGCACGAAGAAAUUCCCCCUAGACUUAGGAUUUAAUUUAAUUCGUUGAUCUUAGGAUUUUCGGGUUGAAUAUUGUGUUGAGAAAUUGACCAAGUUGAUUAUUAAUUCAAAUCACUAUAUUAAAACUUGCAUCCUCAUCUCGUGACUCGAAAGACGAUUAGGGUGAGCUAGGUUAUUAGCUAAUUAUUGGUGGGUAGAUUGGGUGACCGAUAGCUCGGGCUCGUUUAUUGCAUCGUAAUUAAGGUUUCCUAGGAUUUCAAUUAUCAAAGUUGGGUUUGCUUUGCGAUUUUGGGAUCUUCUCUUAACAUAACUGUCUCUGAGGUCAAAAGGAUUCUAUUUUCGUAGGAUUUGGUAUCGAUAGCUCGAGCCGGUUCGUUGUAGCACUUCACAUUUAGUCUUGCUUCUUCAUUUGGGACAUCUCUAGCGGGGGGUCAAUUGAGGGAAAUAGAUAUUUAACCAUUAUCAUUGUCACAUUAGCAUUGCAUGAUUCUAGGGAUUCGAAGCCUGGAUAGUUCUUUCUCAUCAUUGUCUCCUUCCUGUCACUUCUUGCUUGCUUGCCCUGUUAUCUUGUUUUCUUGCUUUAUUAGUUUAUU
rnacentral:lncRNA from 1 species